rnacentral:miRNA from 1 species
GUGGGAGAAGAGGCUGCUGUGG